rnacentral:rRNA from 1 species
GAUGAACGCUGGCGGCGUGCCUAAUACAUGCAAGUCGAGCGAACAGACGAGGAGCUUGCUCCUCUGACGUUAGCGGCGGACGGGUGAGUAACACGUGGAUAACCUACCUAUAAGACUGGGAUAACUUCGGGAAACCGGAGCUAAUACCGGAUAAUAUAUUGAACCGCAUGGUUCAAUAGUGAAAGACGGUUUUGCUGUCACUUAUAGAUGGAUCCGCGCCGCAUUAGCUAGUUGGUAAGUUAACGGCUUACCAAGGCGACGAUGCGUAUCCGACCUGAGAGGGUGAUCGGCCACACUGGAACUGAGACACGGUCCAGACUCCUACGGGAGGCAGCAGUAGGGAAUCUUCCGCAAUGGGCGAAAGCCUGACGGAGCAACGCCGCGUGAGUGAUGAAGGUCUUCGGAUCGUAAAACUCUGUUAUUAGGGAAGAACAAAUGUGUAAGUAACUAUGCACGUCUUGACGGUACCUAAUCAGAAAGCCACGGCUAACUACGUG